rnacentral:rRNA from 1 species
GCAAUCUACCUUUUACAGAGGGAUAGCCCAGAGAAAUUUGGAUUAAUACCUCAUAGUAUAAUGACUCGGCAUCGAGAUAUUAUUAAAGUCACAACGGUAAAAGAUGAGCAUGCGUCCCAUUAGCUAGUUGGUGUGGUAACGGCACACCAAGGCAACGAUGGGUAGGGGUCCUGAGAGGGAGAUCC